rnacentral:rRNA from 1 species
GACAGAGGGUGCAAACGUUGUUCGGAAUCAUUGGGCGUAAAGCGCACGUAGGCGGCGAAGCAAGUUGGGUGUGAAAGCCCUGGGCUCAACCCAGGAAGUGCAUUCAAAACUGCUUCGCUUGAAUCUCGGAGGGGGUCAGAGAAUUCCCGGUGUAGAGGUGAAAUUCGUAGAUAUCGGGAGGAAUACCAGUGGCGAAGGCGCUGACCUGGACGAAGAUUGACGCUGAGGUGCGAAAGCGCGGGGAGCAAACAGG